ACGUAUGGUGCAAGCGUUAUCCGGAUUUACUGGGUGUAAAGGGAGCGUAGGUGGCUGUGCAAGUCAGAAGUGAAAGCCCGGGGCUUAACCCCGGGACUGCUUUUGAAACUGUGCGGCUGGAGUGCAGGAGAGGUAAGUGGAAUUCCUAGUGUAGCGGUGAAAUGCGUAGAUAUUAGGAGGAACACCGGUGGCGAAGGCGGCUUACUGGACUGUAACUGACACUGAGGCUCGAAAGCGUGGGGAGCAAACAG
rnacentral:rRNA from 1 species